UACGAAGGGGGCUAGCGUUGUUCGGAUUUACUGGGCGCAAAGGGCGCGUAGGCGGCCAGCACAAGUCAGUUGUGAAAUCUCCGGGCUUAACUCGGAAAGGUCAACUGAUACUGUGCGGCUAGAGUGCAGAAGGGGCAACUGGAAUUCUCGGUGUAGCGGUGAAAUGCGUAGAUAUCGAGAGGAACACCUGCGGCGAAGGCGGGUUGCUGGGCUGACACUGACGCUGAUGCGCGAAAGCCAGGGGAGCGAACGGG
rnacentral:rRNA from 1 species